GGCUGCACCGAUACCUUCCCUGAUAGCUCAGCCUUGCACAAAAACACAGCACCAUUUGUGGCAGCAAAUACCAGCCUCAGCAUGGAAUUCCCAGCAGCUCAGUGGGAAAGUCUUCCCGCUGAGUGGAAAAGAUCCGUCCAAAAUGUCCUGAUACACCUCUUAAUCUUGCUUCACUUUAUUCUCAUCGUGCUAACAACCCCACAGAUACAUAACAUGCAGCUAUUCAAUUUUCUCUCCUUCCCACAAGGAAAGCCUGUGGCUACACCUGCAUCAUAUCUGAACUGAUCUUGGGAGCGGUCUGAAGCCUGCAGUGCUCAUCGUGGCUUUGCUGCACUGAGUUCAGGUUGCCCGUGAGUUCUACCUCCUCCUGCAAGUGAUGGUGAUAACAGUUUAUGAAAGACCCUUCCUUUGCUGUGACGACAGAUGGGAUACGUGGAAAUGAACACACCAGGUGAUGGGAGGCCAUGGCUGCUAGAGGGAGUCCCUCUGCAGGCUGAAACAAGGAAGUACUGGAAAAAACAUGAAAGAAGCUGAUGCCUUGUUUUUCUCAGGCUGAAGCCCUGAACAUUAAUCAGGUAUUGCAAAAGUCUUUACAUUCGCAUUAGAACAAAAAUGAUGCCAGAACUGCAAAGGUAACAACUCCUCCGGAAGGUGAAGUCACUUGAGAAAGACAGAAAUGGCAGCAGUCAGUGAAAGAAAUCUGGGAUUUCUACGCUCCAGGGAUUCAGUAAGGACAAGGAAGCAGCUCAGGUAAAAUGUAACACAGAAUAUUGCCUCUGACUGCACAUAUUUUAAACUCAGUGGCAUAGGAACUGUGUUUUGGUUUGCUGUUCAAGUUGCUGGGGUUCUGGUUUGUAACAGGGACUAACAAACCAAGUAAUGAACAAUUAUGAUUGAAGUAGAUAAGCGAGAGCUACAUGAUCUUAGCUACUUCAUCAUACUGAACUUUUUGUUUCCAUAUUGUCUGUCGUGGUUUUACUGUUUUAAUGCUUCAUUUUUGUGUAGCUUGAAGGUGGUUGUGUACGUGACUAGAUUCACUCCCUACUGGGAUAUAGGCCAAGAUUUUCAAAAUGAUUGUUUAUUUUGAGUGCCUCCAUUUUUUUAAAACUAAGAAAUUUUAG